rfam:Freshwater sediment metagenome lwMethane_BCGO32766_y1, whole genome shotgun sequence.
AGAGUCCCGUCAGCAAAGGAGGAGCAAUCUAUGCUGUAGCGAACAUUGAGUGACCAAGCCCGGUGACGGGUAACACUAAGCGUAUGGAGCGAAUCCCGUAGGCCGAAAUGCAUUUAGCGUGAAGCGAUUGAGCUCCGACAGAUUAAUAUUCCACUUAAGAUGAUGGUCUAUUCAAGUCAGAAAUCGAAACUGCAAAUCCCGACAAGCGAGGGAUGGGUGAAGUGGCGGAGUCUAAGAGCU